rnacentral:snRNA from 1 species
AUGUUCAUUGAAACAGAUCUGCACAGAGAAGAUUAGCAUGGCCCCUGUGCAAGGAUGACACGCAAAUUUGUGAAGCAUUCCAUAUUUUU